CAAAAGAUAUUUUCUUUUUCUUCUUCACCCACCCAACACCAUUUUCUCCCUCCACCAUGAAAAAUCAAUUUCCUUUCAUUUUCUUUUCUUUGUUUUCAUUUCCUUUCCUUUCUUUUCUUACUUCUUUCUUCUCUUAACUUCUUAGGCAUCAAACAUGCAGCUUUUAACACCAUUUUUUAGCACACCAAACCCUAGGAGAGAGAAGGAAAAAUCUCUCUUUCUUUCCUUUAUUUUCUAUUUUUACUCCACCAUCACCAACACUUGAAUUUUCAACCUUAAAUCUCCAUUUUUAAGGCUAAAAGGUUUUUGUUGAUCUUUAUGCCUCCAAGCUCACCAAGAUUUGGAGGUAGUUGGGACCUAGGUCGAAGAGUUCAUUUGUAUUCACCAUUUGGUAGGUACCAUGGCAUCCAGUAACAGUACCCACGCCCAAAGUCACUCCGCUAAUAGUCAAGGUCUCUUACAUGUGUAUAUAGUUAUUUAAAUGUAAAUUAUGAGAUUGUUGCACACUCUGUACAUUUGAUUUGAUUAACCAUGUUUGUUGCACACUCUGUACAUUUGAUUUGAUUAACCAUGUUGUUUAGGGUUUACGAAUGAUAACCCUAAUUUGAGAACAUUAUAUAUA
rnacentral:sRNA from 10 species